rnacentral:rRNA from 1 species
CAAACGACUCUCGGCAACGGAUAUCUUGGCUCACGCAUCGAUGAAGAACGUAGCAAAAUGCGAUACUUGGUGUGAAUUGCAGAAUCCCGUGAACCAUUGAGUUUUUGAACGCAAGUUGCGCCCAAAGCCUUUCGGCCGAGGGCACGUCUGCCUGGGCGUCACAC